rnacentral:lncRNA from 1 species
ACAGAUACAACCUCUGCAACCUUUCCGUCAAAGGCAAAUACCACAUCCUUUUAUAUGGCACUGGAACUCUUCCACUCGUAUCUUUAUAACGAGGCUUUCCACAAAAUUUGCAUGUAACCCGCUGUUCAUCCGCCCUCCAAUAAAUCAUGCAGUUGUCGCUGCAUACAUCUAUUACAUGAUACGAUAAACCAAGACCAGCUACGAGUUUCUGAACCUCGUAGUAUGAACCAGGAGCUACAUUAUCCUCGGGUAGAAUACCUUUUACAAAAUCAGCAAUCGCAUCCACACAGUCUUCAGCCAAAUUAUAAUCUGUUUUAAUGCCCAUCAAUCUUGUAGCAGAUGAUAAAGCUGAAUGACCA